CAAUGUUCCCCUCGUUUUUUAAUCCAUUCCUUUUUUUUCUUUUUCCCAAACCCCCUUCUCAUUUUCAGCUACCCCUCUUUCCCCCGUUCUCAGAAACCCUUUAAUUUUCCCAUCUAGCCAUUCACAAUAAUCGGUCCUCUACAAUAACCCUUUCAUUUCAGCAUCUCUCAGCGAAAUCCAUGUAAUAACUUCAGAUCUAUCUAUCAAUUGGACUAGCAGAAAUUUGGUGGAAUCGGUGUAAUUUGAAGAAGGAUAUAACACUAUUUGUUGAAACCGAGAUAACUCCUGGGGACCUUUAGAGAAGACACAAUUGUCAGUGGCCGCAUUUCCUCUUUCUGCUCUGCGUUAUGUUUGAAUCAGUCUCAAGGUUAUAGUAAACACUCUUGCUCAGAGAAAUCCUUAUCGGUUGAUCACUUCUGAAAGGUUAUAUCAAUACCUUCCAAUGGAUAAAUCUUGGAUUGGAAUGCCUAGAAAUACAAUAAAGUAUUUACUUGGUUUGAAUUAAUUUUUAAAUUUUGCAUUUAAUAAUGCUUCUAUAGGAGAUAGAAUAAAAUGUUCGUGUCCUAAAUGUGGUUUUGGAAAGUGGCAGACUAGAGAGAUAGUGUAAGAUCAUUUGAUUAGCAAGCCAUUCCCUCAAAAUUAUGUCACAUGGAUUCUUCAUGGGAAACAGAAGUGUUCGAGAAUUCUAGAAGCACAGAAGUUAUCCCAUAUGCACUGCCUCCUGAAAAUCCUACGGAAUUGUUGAUAAAUGAAGCAUUCCUGGGUUUAAGGCAUGAGGGCAUUGAUGCAGGUCCAUCACAAGUAGUUGGAGAAGAAGAAAUAUUAAAUAAUCUGCAUUCUUGAAAUAACAAAGAAUUUUUCGAGUUGCUUAGAGAUGGAAGUGAAGAAUUAUACGAAGGGUCCAAGUACUCGAAGCUAGAAUUUUUGUUAAAGUUGUAUCACAUAAAGUGUUUGUCUGGGCUAAGUGACAAGGGAAUGACUAUGAUGCUAGAUUUACUGAAGGAUGCACUUGGAUUUGCAAGGAUACCUAAUUCUUUUUAUGAGGUCAAGAAUACCAUCAAAAGGCUUUAUCUUGAUUAUAUCAAGAUAGAUGCUUGUCCAAACGAUUGCAUGUUGUACUGGGGAGAUGAUGCUAAUGAGGAAACAUGCAAGCAUUGUCAUACUUCUAGAUGGAAGCCAACUAAGAAGAGCAACAAUAAUCACAUGUCUACCACGGGAAAGAAGAAAAAGAAGCAAAAGAUGCCCGCAAAAUUUUUGCGUUACUUUCCACUAAAAUCAAGGUUGUAGAGAUUGUUCAUAUGCUCUAAAAUUGCAGAGCAUAUGAGAUGGCAUGUGAAAGAUAGUAACAAAGAUGGAAUCAUGAGGCAUCCCAGAGAUGGUGAGAUGAGAUGGUGAGACAUGGAAGAGAUUUGAUUGCUUUUACUGAAUUUGCUUCUGAUCCUAGAAAUGUUCGAUUAGCCCUAGCUAGUGAUGGUUUCAAUCCUUUUGGGAUGAUGAGUACUAAUUAUAGCAUUUGGCCAGUGAUUUUGGUUCCAUAUAACUUUCCACCUUGGUUGUGUAUGAAGCAACCAAAUUUUAUCCUCUCAAUGAUCAUUCCAGGUCCACAUAUAACGGGGAAUAAUAUAGAUAUAUCCCUACAAUCGCUUAUUAAGGAGUUGAAUGAGUUGUGGUGUGAAGGUGUGGAAACUUUUGAUUCAUCAAAGAAUGAAAUGUUUAGAAUGCGAGUAGCUCUUAUGUAGACAGUUAGCGACUUUCCUGGACUUGAAAUUUUAUCCGGUUGGAACACAUAUAGCGAUUUUGCUUGUCCAUCUUGUAAUUUUAACACAGAACCUUGCCGACUUCGUUAUAGUAUAAAAUGGUGCUUUAUUGGUCAUUGCCGGUUUUUGGCAAGAAAUCAUAAAUUUAUAUUGAUGAUGCUUCAUUUGUUUGGCAAUACGGAAGAGAGAAAACCUCCAAGGAAGUUAACUGGGUCAGAUAUUUUGAAUCAGUGGAGGAAUUUGAUGUUACAUUUGGAAAACUAGCAGAAUUAAAUGAAAGAAAGAAAAGAAAUCGACAAAAAGGUACUGAGGAAAGUGCAACUCAACAAUGGAGAAAAAAAAGCAUAUUCUUCUAUCUUCCAUAUUGGGAAUUCAACUUGUUGCGCCAUAAUUUAGACGUUAUGCAUAUUGAGAAGAAUGUAUUUGAUAAUAUUAUAUGCACUUUGCUACAUGAAAAGAUCUACAAGAUAUGGGUAUAAGGCGUGAUCUUUGGCCAGAUGAGAAUGAGAAUUGUCGGUUUGAUUUAUUUGCAAUUCCAAAAAAAUAAAAGAGUCAGACUUUCUCAAAACUUUAAAAAAUAUCUCGGUGCCGGAUGGUUACUCAAGUAAUAUCUCUCGUUGUGUUGAUCUAGAUAAAAAGAGGAUAUUUGGACUCAAAAGCCAUGAUUGUUAUAUCAUUAUGGAACAAUUGUUACCCAUAGCAAUUCGAAAUGUGCUUCCAAAUCAUGUUGUUGCAGCCUUGGUAGAGCUUUCAUCCCUUUUUAGACAACUUUGUUCGAAAAGCUUGAGCUUCUCGGACCUAGAAAAUCUACAAGACCCGAUUGUACUCACACUUUGCCAUUUAGAGAUGUUGUUCCCUACAUCCUUUUUUACUGUAAUGAUUCAUUUAACUGUCCAUCUAGUGGAUGAAUUAAUACAAGGUGGACGGUACAUUAUCGGUGGGUGUAUUUUGUUGAAAGGUAAAACAUUACUUAUUCAACAUAAUUUCCAUCGAUUUUAUAAUAAUAAUUCAAAGUAAAUACUUAUUCUAGUACCUUUUUAUUUUGGUUAUAGAUUGCUAGGUCAUUUCAAGUCCUUUAUAGGGAAGCACAACCAGAAGGUUCCAUAGCUGAGGGUUACAUUGUUGAAGAAGCCCCAACUUUUUUUUCUCGUUAUUUUGAGGAUAUUGAGUCGAGGGUAAAUAGGCCUAAAUGUGUAAAUGAUGGACCAAAUCUUAACGAGGCUUCUGAAAUGUCAUCUACAUUCCCUACACAAGGUAAACCCGUCAAAGGUUCUGAAGCAUUCACCUUGACUCAACUUGAGAAGACUCAAGCUCAUCGAUAUGUGUUACUUAAUUGUGCAACAAUAAAGCCAUUUAUUAGGUAAGAAAAAUAAAUUAAUUUAAUUUUUUACAAAAACUUUGAGUGAAGUGAAUAAAAUUAAUACAAUUAACUCCUUUGUAGUGAAUUUAGGGAUUGCAUAAGAAGGAGUUCAAGAGGCUAGAGACCUUCAGCAACCGAAGUAGAAAGGAGAGUUAAUAAAGAGUUUCCUGAUUGGUUUCCAAAGCGAGUGAGUGAAAAUGCUUGUCUAUGAUUAAUUAACUUUCUUGUUUUAAUUUUGAAUAUUUGACAAAAAGAAUUUUGUCUAUUUGGAUUAUGAAUCCGAAUAUAACAAACACAAUCUUUACUGAUUUGGAGUUUCUAGCACAAGGUCGAUGUCCAGAUGUGAGAAGGUUCACUGCUUAUAACAUUAAUGGAUUCAAAUUUCAGACAUUUUCUAGAGAACAAGGAUCACAAACUCAAAAUAAUGGAGUUUUUCUUAUCUCUGGCACCUCUUGUAUUGCAUCCAACGCUGACAGAAAUGCGAGGCAAGCAGACUUGCCAUAUUAUGGGAAGUUGGAAGAUAUUAUUGAGCUUAAUUAUUAUGGUUAGUUUAAGGUUGUGCUCUUCAAGUGCCAGUGGGCUGACAUUAAUCGAGAUAGAGGGUUCAAAAGAGAUGCUUGAAAUUUUAAUCGUGUUAAUUUUUCUAGAUUGAUUCACACUGGUGAUCGUGAGGAGCAUGAUCCUUAUAUUAAAGUAUCUCAAGCAAAUAUGGUGUACUGUGUUAAUGAUGAAACUGAUUGUCACGCCCCAACCUCGGGAGGCGCGACCGGCGCUCAAUCGAGUGAACCCAACUGAGCAA